AAUUUUUAUACUUAUAAUUUUAAUUUCUGCUUUGACAAAUAUUCUACUUGUUUGUAAAGUGUUCUGUCCAGAUUAUGUUACGCCCAUCUUAGAAUACAUAGAUGGCUUAUUUAUAGGACGCAGGUUGAGAAAUUACUUCCGCCGGCUCUUUCGCGUGCGUCGAGAGCCUCGUCGUCCGCCACAUUUGGACGUUCGUUUAAUGCAGGGCGCCACUCGUCAGAUGAAGAAGAAGUAGAACGUUAUUAAUUUGGAAAGUUAACAUGGAUGGUUUGUACACGUUAUAUGUAGUAAAAUAUUACUUAUUUAUGAUAUUAAUAAGAUCUCGUAAGUAUGUCAUCAUGUUCGAAUCUCAAUUUCAAGUUAUUCUGAUAAUGUGUACGUUGCUCCACGAUUAAUUGUUAAGCAAGAAAAUAUAUAUUAUAUAUAAUUAUGUAAUAAUAUAAUCACAA